CCAAUAGCGUAUAUUAAAGUUGUUGCAGUUAAAAAGCUCGUAGUUGAAUUUCGGGAUUCGUCCAUUGGUCAGGCUUAACUGUCUGUACUGGUGUGUCGGAUUUCUACCUUCUGAAGAACCUUUAUGCCAUUAAUUUGGUGUGUUGGGGAAUCAGGACUGUUACUUUGAAAAAAUUAGAGUGUUUAAAGCAGGCUAACGUCUGAAUACAUUAGCAUGGAAUAAUGAAAUAGGACGGUACGGUUCUAUUUUGUUGGUUUCUAGGAUCGCCGGAAUGAUGAAUAGGGAUGGUUGGGGGCAUUAGUAUUAAAUUGUCAGAGGUGAAAUUCUUGGGUUUAUUGAAGACUAACUACUGCGAAAGCAUUUGCCAAGGAUGUUUUCAUUAAUCAAGAACGAAAGUUAGGGGAUCGAAGACGAUCAGAUACCGUCGUAGUCUUAACCAUAAACUAUGCCGACUAGGGAUGGGACGAUGUUAAUUUUUUAAUGACUCGUUCAGCACCUUACG
rnacentral:rRNA from 1 species